rnacentral:tRNA from 1 species
GCCCUUGUAGCUCAGCCGGAAGAAGCACCGACCUAGUAAGUCGGGGGUCGCGCGUUCGAAUCGUCGCCGAGGGCA